rnacentral:tRNA from 1 species
GGAGGGAUGGCAGAGUGGUUUAUUGCACCGGUCUUGAAAACCGGCGAGGGUUCACGCCCUCCGUGGGUUCGAAUCCCACCUCCUCCGCCA